CCUACGGGUGGCUGCAGUGGGGAAUAUUGGACAAUGGGCGGAAGCCUGAUCCAGCAAUGCCGCGUGUGUGAAGAAGGCCUGCGGGUUGUAAAGCACUUUAAGCAGGAAAGAAGGGGUGGGAGCUAAUACCUUUCAUCAUUGACGUUACCUGCAGAAUAAGCACCGGCUAACUCCGUGCCAGCAGCCGCGGUAAUACGGAGGGUGCGAGCGUUAAUCGGAAUUACUGGGCUGAAAGCGCGCGUAGGCGGAUCCCUGGGCUUAACCUGGGAACUGCGGUGGAUACUGUCUGGCUAGAGUGUGGUAGAGGGCAGUGGAAUUUCCGGUGUAGCAGUGAAAUGCGUAGAGAUCGGAAGGAACACCAGUGGCGAAGGCGGCUGCCUGGACCAACACUGACGCUGAGGUGCGAAAGCGUGGGGAGCAAACAGGAUUAGAUACCCCAGUAGUC
rnacentral:rRNA from 1 species